rnacentral:rRNA from 1 species
GCUACAGGCUUAACACAUGCAAGUCGAGGGGCAGCAUGGUCUUAGCUUGCUAAGGCCGAUGGCGACCGGCGCACGGGUGAGUAACACGUAUCCAACCUGCCGUCUACUCUUGGACAGCCUUCUGAAAGGAAGAUUAAUACAAGAUGGCAUCAUGAGUCCGCAUGUUCACAUGAUUAAAGGUAUUCCGGUAGACGAUGGGGAUGCGUUCCAUUAGAUAGUAGGCGGGGUAACGGCCCACCUAGUCUUCGAUGGAUAGGGGUUCUGAGAGGAAGGUCCCCCACAUUGGAACUGAGACACGGUCCAAACUCCUACGGGAGGCAGCAGUGAGGAAUAUUGGUCAAUGGGCGAGAGCCUGAACCAGCCAAGUAGCGUGAAGGAUGACUGCCCUAUGGGUUGUAAACUUCUUUUAUAAAGGAAUAAAGUCGGGUAUGGAUACCCGUUUGCAUGUACUUUAUGAAUAAGGAUCGGCUAACUCCGUGCCAGCAGCCGCGGUAAUACGGAGGAUCCGAGCGUUAUCCGGAUUUAUUGGGUUUAAAGGGAGCGUAGAUGGAUGUUUAAGUCAGUUGUGAAAGUUUGCGGCUCAACCGUAAAAUUGCAGUUGAUACUGGAUAUCUUGAGUGCAGUUGAGGCAGGCGGAAUUCGUGGUGUAGCGGUGAAAUGCUUAGAUAUCACGAAGAACUCCGAUUGCGAAGGCAGCCUGCUAAGCUGCAACUGACAUUGAGGCUCGAAAGUGUGGGUAUCAAACAGGAUUAGAUACCCUGGUAGUCCACACGGUAAACGAUGAAUACUCGCUGUUUGCGAUAUACUGCAAGCGGCCAAGCGAAAGCGUUAAGUAUUCCACCUGGGGAGUACGCCGGCAACGGUGAAACUCAAAGGAAUUGACGGGGGCCGCACAAGCGGAGGAACAUGUGGUUUAAUUCGAUGAUACGCGAGGAACCUUACCCGGGCUUAAAUUGCAGAUGAAUUACGGUGAAAGCCGUAAGCCGCAAGGCAUCUGUGAAGGUGCUGCAUGGUUGUCGUCAGCUCGUGCCGUGAGGUGUCGGCUUAAGUGCCAUAACGAGCGCAACCCUUGUUGUCAGUUACUAACAGGUUCCGCUGAGGACUCUGACAAGACUGCCAUCGUAAGAUGUGAGGAAGGUGGGGAUGACGUCAAAUCAGCACGGCCCUUACGUCCGGGGCUACACACGUGUUACAAUGGGGGGUACAGAGGGCCGCUACCACGCGAGUGGAUGCCAAUCCCCAAAACCUCUCUCAGUUCGGACUGGAGUCUGCAACCCGACUCCACGAAGCUGGAUUCGCUAGUAAUCGCGCAUCAGCCACGGCGCGGUGAAUACGUUCCCGGGCCUUGUACACACCGCCCGUCAAGCCAUGGGAGCCGGGGGUACCUGAAGUGCGUAACCGCGAGGAGCGCCCUAGGGUAAAACUGGUGACUGGGGCU